rnacentral:rRNA from 1 species
ACUCCUGCGGGAGGCAGCAGUGGGGAAUAUUGGACAAUGGGCGCAAGCCUGAUCCAGCCAUGCCGCGUGAGUGAUGAAGCCCUAGGGUUGUAAAGCUCUUUUGUGCGGGAAGAUAAUGACGGUACCGCAAGAAUAAGCCCCGGCUAACUUCGUGCCAGCAGCCGCGGUAAUACGAAGGGGGCUAGCGUUGCUCGGAAUCACUGGGCGUAAAGGGUGCGUAGGCGGGUCUUUAAGUCAGGGGUGAAAUCCUGGAGCUCAACUCCAGAACUGCCUUUGAUACUGAAGAUCUUGAGUUCGGGAGAGGUGAGUGGAACUGCGAGUGUAGAGGUGAAAUUCGUAGAUAUUCGCAAGAACACCAGUGGCGAAGGCGGCUCACUGGCCCGAUACUGACGCUGAGGCACGAAAGCGUGGGGAGCAAACAGGAUUAGAAACCCGUGUAGUCCCAUGA